AUACUUACCUGGACGGGGUCAAUGGGCGAUCGAAAAGGCCUAUGGCCUAGAACAGUAACUUCCAUUGCACUUAGGAAGGGUGCUGCUCUAAGGUCUGCCCAAGUGGCAGAGCCUACGUCAUAAUUUGUGGUAGCGGAGGCUUGCGUUCGCGCAGCCCCUCC